GAUGAACGCUGGCGGCGUGCCUAAUACAUGCAAGUCGAACGCGAGAGGAGGGAGCUUGCUCCCUCUGAUCGAGUGGCGGACGGGUGAGUAACACGUAGGCAACCUGCCCAUCAGCCGGGGAUAACUGCGGGAAACCGUGGCUAAUACCGGAUGAUCCUCCCCGCCGCGGGGUGGGGAGUUGAAAGACGGUUUCGGCUGUCGCUGAUGGAUGGGCCUGCGGCGCAUGAGCUGGUUGGCGGGGUAACGGCGCACCAAGGCAACGAUGCGUAACCGACAUGGGAGGGGGAUCGGCCACACUGGGACUGAGACACGGCCCAGACGCCUACGGGAGGCAGCAGUAGGGAAUCUUCCGCAAUGGACGCAAGUCUGACGGAGCAACGCCGCGUGAGUGAAGAAGGGUUUCGGCUCGUAAAACUCUGUUGUUAAGGAAGAACGCCAGGUAGAGUAACUGCUACCUGUGUGACGGUACUUAACCAGAAAGCCACGGCUAACUACGUGCCAGCAGCCGCAGUAA
rnacentral:rRNA from 1 species